UACGCGCCUCACAAACGUUAUUCGGAAUUACUGGGCUUAAAGGGUGCGUAGGCGGCGCGGAAAGUUGGGUGUGAAAUCCCUCGGCUCAACCGAGGAACUGCGCCCAAAACUACCGUGCUCGAGGAAGAUAGAGGUGAGCGGAACUCACGGUGGAGCGGUGAAAUGCGUUGAUAUCGUGAGGAACACCCGUGGCGAAAGCGGCUCACUGGGUCUUUUCUGACGCUGAUGCACGAAAGCUAGGGGAGCAAACAGG
rnacentral:rRNA from 1 species